rnacentral:rRNA from 4 species
GAAUGCUGACAUAAGUAACGAUAAAGCGGGUGAAAAGCCCGCUCGCCGGAAGACCAAGGGUUCCUGUCCAACGUUAAUCGGGGCAGGGUGAGUCGACCCCUAAGGCGAGGCCGAAAGGCGUAGUCGAUGGGAAACGGGUUAAUAUUCCCGUACUUGGUGUUACUGCGAAGGGGGGACGGAGAAGGCUAUGUUGGCCGGGCGACGGUUGUCCCGGUUUAAGCGUGUAGGUGUGUGUUCCAGGUAAAUCCGGUUCACUUUAACACUGAGGCGUGAUGACGAGGCACUACGGUGCUGAAGCAACAAAUGCCCUGCUUCCAGGAAAAGCCUCUAAGCAUCAGGUAACAUCAAAUCGUACCCCAAACCGACACAGGUGGUCAGGUAGAGAAUACCAAGGCGCUUGAGAGAACUCGGGUGAAGGAACUAGGCAAAAUGGUGCCGUAACUUCGGGAGAAGGCACGCUGACACGUAGGUGAAGUGAUUUACUCAUGGAGCUGAAGUCAGUCGAAGAUACCAGCUGGCUGCAACUGUUUAUUAAAAACACAGCACUGUGCAAACACGAAAGUGGACGUAUACGGUGUGACGCCUGCCCGGUGCCGGAAGGUUAAUUGAUGGGGUCAGCGCAAGCGAAGCUCCUGAUCGAAGCCCCGGUAAACGGCGGCCGUAACUAUAACGGUCCUAAGGUAGCGAAAUUCCUUGUCGGGUAAGUUCCGACCUGCACGAAUGGCGUAAUGAUGGCCAGGCUGUCUCCACCCGAGACUCAGUGAAAUUGAACUCGCUGUGAAGAUGCAGUGUACCCGCGGCAAGACGGAAAGACCCCGUGAACCUUUACUAUAGCUUGACACUGAACAUUGAGCCUUGAUGUGUAGGAUAGGUGGGAGGCUUUGAAGUGUGGACGCCAGUCUGCAUGGAGCCGACCUUGAAAUACCACCCUUUAAUGUUUGAUGUUCUAACGUGGACCCGUGAUCCGGGUUGCGGACAGUGUCUGGUGGGUAGUUUGACUGGGGCGGUCUCCUCCUAAAGAGUAACGGAGGAGCACGAAGGUUGGCUAAUCCUGGUCGGACAUCAGGAGGUUAGUGCAAUGGCAUAAGCCAGCUUGACUGCGAGCGUGACGGCGCGAGCAGGUGCGAAAGCAGGUCAUAGUGAUCCGGUGGUUCUGAAUGGAAGGGCCAUCGCUCAACGGAUAAAAGGUACUCCGGGGAUAACAGGCUGAUACCGCCCAAGAGUUCAUAUCGACGGCGGUGUUUGGCACCUCGAUGUCGGCUCAUCACAUCCUGGGGCUGAAGUAGGUCCCAAGGGUAUGGCUGUUCGCCAUUUAAAGUGGUACGCGAGCUGGGUUUAGAACGUCGUGAGACAGUUCGGUCCCUAUCUGCCGUGGGCGCUGGAGAACUGAGGGGGGCUGCUCCUAGUACGAGAGGACCGGAGUGGACGCAUCACUGGUGUUCGGGUUGUCAUGCCAAUGGCACUGCCCGGUAGCUAAAUGCGGAAGAGAUAAGUGCUGAAAGCAUCUAAGCACGAAACUUGCCCCGA